CAUCACUUGCUCCCCUACACCCCGCUCCAUUGGCUGAUAUCAUCAGAAUUGAUAAUCCCAUAGGAAAGCACUGGAUUGGCUGAGAUCGUCAAUUGUGAUGAUCUCAGUCAAGGAUGCAGGGCGGGUGGAAGAGCCAAACACCGCCCUGGCCAAUCACCAUCUCCUCAUAGAGAUGCAUUGAAUCAAUGCAUCUCUAUGGAGAAAGUUCAUCAUCACAAGCAUACCCAUUUAAUGAGCUAUCUACUAAGCAGAUGAAAGAUACAAAUUAAGAAAAGAUUUCCUCAUUUUGAUCUUUCAGCUGUUUAGUAAAUAGCUAUCUAAUUUAGCAGUCCUAUGUGCCAUCAACAUAAUUAUCAACUAAACAAACAAAAAAAAUUAAAUUUUCUUUUUUUUUGCUGUACUCAGGGAAAUAGGGACAAAGAGCUUCUCGCACAGUCACUUAUACAAAAAUCAUACGUUCUUACAGUCCUUUUUAAAUGCCCUCCCAUAGAGUGAAUGUUGACAGACACCUCUUUAUUCCUUCAUUGUUCUCUAGUAAAGGGCAUCGGAAACAAAUUGUCCACACAGCAAUCGAAAAGUUAAAAUAACCUUGAUUAGACACCCAGACCUCCUCUUGCUAUCUCUAUCUCCAUAUUGUUCUGCUUGUUACUAUUUUUAAUGAAGCAUUGCAGCCAGUCCUGAUAAAAAAAAAAAAGUUCACCUUAAAUUGUUUAUUUUUCAGGAUUAAUUAGUAACUAACAAACUUGUUUUCAGACUGGGCAGAGAAAUAAUCCCAUACUAUAAUGAGGCUAAUCUCAUCCUCUGUUUGCAAAUUCCUUUUUUACUAAGCAAAGAAGUCAAUCUUACUGAAAUCACUCACAAGGAUCCAUCAGGUUGGAUUAACCUGUCAAUCUCUGUUUAUUUUAGAUGAUCUCUUCAUAGCUUCCUGGACAAGAACAUCCACCAGACGAUGAGUAGACAAAUUAGCACUUGAUCUCGUUAGUACACAUUUCAUUUUAGUAGUUUGGGGUUUUUGUAGUCCUCCGUGACCUCCCACUACCAGGGAGAAGAGAAAAGACCAGUUAUGGCAUCAUAGGAGGGCUUGUUAAGGUGGCAGUGCCAAUUUAGAAAAUUGGGCAGACUAAAUUGGCCGAAUGGUUCUAUUCUGCCGUCACAUUCUAUGUUUCUAUCUGUCGGGAUAUGUCUUUUAACAAAAUUGUGGUCUAGGCACUCAGGGGUUGAUUAUACAGCAGAUUUAUUUGGGGGAAAGUGCAACGUUUCGAUCUCUGAGAGAUAUAAACAUUUCACUUUUUUCCAAAUAAAUCUGCUGUAUAAUAGAUCAUUGAGUGCCUGGACCAAAAUUUAGUUCAACUAUUACGGUAGGGGUAGCCAGCCCAGGUCUAGUAGCACCGGGAUCUCAGUAAGAGUGCAACAUUCCACUUCUUUUUGAUACAUCGGGAUAUGUUUUUUAGACACAGUACUGCAGGUGUAAGGGCAGCAGAAAUAUUGGGUUGUGCAUGGGAUGGUGCUCCUAGACUGGGAUAUUUCUUAGAGGACGGCAGUAUCUGGGAUUGACGAAGCUGCCAGGCUAUGAUCACUAUGUAUGAUGUCUCUGGAAUUGACCGUGAGAUGAGACAGUGGUCAAGAUAUUCAUAACACAAGACAGUAGUUACUGGUGGAGUUGUAGGAAGCAGAGUUUGUGUCUCUGACAUUAUGUGUUAUAACCUUUUACUACGUGCGAAUCCUACAUUUUCUUAUUUUACUCAUCAAAUGAAAUGUUUUCUAUGUGUGAGCUCAGCUUAUAUUUACUACAAUGUAUAAUUUUUAUUGUUAUACAGAUAUAUGCUGGUAACCUCUUUCAUUUGGUUUAAGCUAUCAUCUGAAUAGAAAUAUAAAUUGCCCCAAAAAAAAAAAAGACAUGAAUAACACUAAACUAAAGACGUUACUUGGCUGUUAUCGUAAAAAUAAUGAUGAAUCACAUACUAAGGAAAUCCUCAUAACUGAAGCCGUAGGAUUUCCUGAAUUGGGUCAUGUCUUUGAGAAAGGCGAUUCAAAAUGAGCAUCCAAGCAGGGACAAGUUAGGUGCCUCCUGGGAAUUAUUGUUUUACAACAUAAGAAACAUUGAAUUGCUUAAUAGCUGAAAAAUAGUAUCAUACCGUAUAGUUCAAUUUUAUAUUUUAUCGAGGCAAGAGUAAAUUCGGGUAUUAGAUCUGUUAUCAUGUUAUUAGCUAUCUGUUGAAUGUGUAUCCUGGUUAAUCGUUUCUCAGUAAAUAUAAUGUUUGGCUAUUCCUACAUUUUACUCACUGAUGAAGGAAGUUCUGGAUGAAAAAGAGAGAAGCCAGCAGGUUGUCUUACAGUUAUCUCCAUGUGUUUCAGAACCAGCAGGGGGAGCUACAGCUGCAGGUAUUUUCAAAGACACCUUUGUGGUUGAUCCCACGUGGGACCUGAAGAAUCUGAUAACAGUAAUAACUGUUAGCUAUGUUUAACCACAUCCAAAAGACGCUACCAACAUCUGAUAAAUGGGGAAAUCAAAGAUGAACUCCACCAUCCGAUCUUAUAGAAAUACAAAAAUAUUUGCAUGUCGUGGUCCUUUGUAGAAUAGAGGAGAGACAAAGACUUUAUUUAUUACCGGGCAUUGCUUGCCAUCAUAGCUAGUGGGGGUUGGUACUAGUUAAUUCUAUGGGCUUGGCAUCCACUGGCAUGGUGUGAGGAGAGAUAGGCUAUGAUUAUGCCAUGACUCUGGGCAUCUUCUGACAUGGUAUGGAGAGAGAAGAACUAGCAUAAUGAUUACACUGGGGGAUAGGCGUCCCUGGCAUGGUAUUUCAGAAUAGAGAAGUUGGCACAAUUAAUAUGUUGAGGGGCAUGGUGUGGCAAAACGGAGAUGGUAUAAUUUAUCUAAUAGGCGCUCAACAUUCUUUUCCUCCUGUGGGCUCAGCAAAGCCUGCGUGAAAUGGAAGGUGGGCACUGUUAGUUCUGAAACAGACGGUCAUUGCCAAGCCCACCCACACCAUAAGUGUAAUCCAUAUUCCUUGGCACAUAGGUUGUGUGAAAAUUGGGGCUUCCCUUUAUUUGUAAGGGGUCAGGUGCAAUGUGACUUUAUGUAUAAAAUGCCAAUCAUUUAAGCAGGUUUUAGAAUGUGCAGAAGCCAAUUAACGUGAAUCUGUUCUAAAGUUUCAGCCACAUAUGAACUGCAAUAUGUUCCAUUAGCCCAAAACCACAAAGAACAAAGUACACACUUUCACAAGAUUCCAAGUACAUCCUGGGGUCUAAAAGUAAUUAUUACCCAAUUUAAGGAUACAUUACAAUAUGACUUCCUGCCAGUAUCCUGUUUAAUGUCUCCAACAUGGUCACAGCCAAAAAAUGUCACAACCUUUUUCUGCCGGGAAUGACCUCAAAGUUAGAAAAUUGUUCGACUUAAAACUGGGUUGAACUUGAGAUCGAUAGUCCAAGAUUGCGAGGUUACCAACACACAAAUUAUAACUGACCUUUUUGUCAAACCCCUUUCAUAGUGCAUCACUGGUGAUAAUGGGUGAUGUGUGUCAUUAACGUGUUGUGUUCCAAAUCCACGUGUUCCAAAUCCACAUGGACAUGCAUGUAUAUUUCUUUAAGCAUGUGUGCAUAUGUAUUUGUUGUAUCUAUUUUUCUACGUGAUGUUGUUUGUACAGUGUUUAUUUGUGUAUUAUUUGCCUCAAUUAACUAUUGAUGAAUCCUUAAAGGUUUGAUGACUUUGCUUCCAGAUGUGAUCAACCACAAGUGGUUGUGGUGUUAGCUCUGCUCACGUGCGAACACUUGGGGGUGCGUUGGAUAAUUGUUCAAAAACAUGUAAUGAAAUGUUUCAGUA